rnacentral:rRNA from 1 species
AGAUUCCUACGGGAGGCAGCAGUGGGGAAUAUUGCACAAUGGGCGCAAGCCUGAUGCAGCCAUGCCGCGUGUAUGAAGAAGGCCUUCGGGUUGUAAAGUACUUUCAGCAGUGAGGAAGGUGGAUGUGUUAAUAGCGCAUUCAUUUGACGUUAGCUGCAGAAGAAGCACCGGCUAACUCCGUGCCAGCAGCCGCGGUAAU